ensembl:lncRNA novel transcript
GUACUUGUCAUCACUUUCCUUGUUAUACUGGUCGGUGAUCCACUGCAAGCUGUCCUUCGCAUAGUUUUCUACUGCCAUCACUUCAUGGACGCUUAGAAAGGUUUUCUUCCUUGCUUGGUAGGGGAGGGCCAUCAGAGUCAAUAGAAUGGCCAACAGGAGCUGUAGGGCCUGCCAGGGCUCAGCCAUCAUCCUUCAGCUGCAGAGGAACAGGAAGAGUGUUCUCUGUACUCCUCAGGGACAAGUCGAAUCACACUGACCCUACCUGCCCUGGCAGGAUUUAAGAGCAGCUGGUGGUGGACACCCACAGCUCUCCUCUCCUCCUCCUCCCCCUUCAUCAGCAGCUGAACUCGAGGGGAGAGCAGCAAGAGACUGUGCAAUGGUUUUUGCAUAAGUUCAUGCCACACACACACAGGAUAACACACACAUUUUCUCUUUUGAGGGGCUGCUCCCUCAGCAACACACAGGCUUCUGUGGACCCAGCAUUGUCUUGGUGGGAGCCAGGCGAGGGCCCCUGGGAGUCCUGGAGGAUGGUAGCUGCUGGAGACACGGGGAGAUUGGAUGCCAGGACUGGCGCAUUCAUAGGUUGUUCAUGGAAUAGACAUAUUUACUACAUGUCUCCGGCAGAAUUGCUGUAACACUAGGAAUAGUAUAUCUUUCAUGUCUCAUGAAAACUGUUCUCCUGGCCAAAUUGAACGAAUGCAGCUCUCUGGACUCAGAGAGGAUUGAAUGGGCAAUUAAUCAGGAGGGUGCCAGUCUCCCAGGAGAACCAGCAAAUAUCACUGAAUUACGCUGCUCAUAUUCCUGGACUCUGCUGAAGAACAAUCUCCUCCAGGAAGCGCCUUCUGAUUGCCUGGCCCACCUUCUGCCCAGGCUAACACGGAUGCCACUGCUAUCUGGCCACACUUCUAUCAAAACAUGCAAGCUGUUCUCCUUCCACUGCUCUUCAGCUCUGCCUCUGGAACCUCACUUUGAAUCCCUUGGGACAACAAAGUCAGACUGGCUGGACUCACAUCUGGCUCCACCAUUGACCAGCUGGGUGGCUGUGGGCAAAUUACUUACAUUCAACGUGCCUCAGUCUUCUCACCUGCAAAAUGGAAAUUGCCACAGCCAACCCAACCUUCAGCAACCACCAGUCUGAUCAGUCAGCAACCAUCAACAUCAAGGCAAGACCCUCCAUCAGCAAAAGGAUUAUGACUCACUGAAGGCACAGAUUGUUAGCAUUUUUAGCAGUAAAUCAUUUUUAAUUAAG